UCUACUCCCAGAGGCAUUGUACGUGUGAUGCUAUGUCACGUGUGAAUCAGUAGAUGGCAGAUAGGAGACUAUGUCUUCCCUCAGUGUUCUUAUCUACAAACAUCUGGAUGAUAGAAGACUAACGUU